GUCCACAUGUUACCCUUCACCUGGCACUGUCAAAAUAUCUGAUGGGGAGUUAUUAACUCUUGUGUCUAACUAUAGCAGCGCACGCAGACAUACUGGAGUCAUGGGGCUAUUUUAUCUCUUGGUUGCAGAUUCAUCGACAUAACCAUACACUGCCUUGCACUCUUCGACUUAUGUGCACGAGGAGGCGAAGACGUUCAUUCCUGGUUCGGGUGUUAUCGUGUUUGUGUUAGAAUUUGGGUAUGACCUGAAUUCUUUGUUGAAAUAAUUGUGGAGUUCUAAUUAAAAUGUAUAUCAAGAGGAAUUCUAAUUGAAAUAUUGUUGUGGAAUCCUAUUCAAGUUUAAUUGUCAAAUUCUAGUUAAACUUCUUUUUGGAAGCUCUAUGGAGAGUUGGAAUUUGUAUUGGACUUGAAGAGACCAAAAUAAGAAAACUUUUGACAUUUUAUUUCAUGUAUAACUCUACUUGUAGGGAUUCGAUUGUUCCCUAUAAAUACUGGACUCUUUUUCUAGAUUUGAGAAGCCAUAAAGCAUUAUUGUUAAGUUUUUGUAUUCUCUCCUUAUUGUUAUAAUAAAACAUCGAUUCCUCUGUCAA